AGAUUGAACGCUGGCGGCAUGCCUAACACAUGCAAGUCGAACGGCAGCGCGGGUAGCAAUACCUGGCGGCGAGUGGCGGACGGGUGGGGAAUACAUAGGAAUCUACCCUGUCGUGGGGGAUAACGUAGGGAAACUUACGCUAAUACCGCAUACGACCGAGAGGUGAAAGCGGCGGACCGCAAGGCGUCGCGCGGCUGGAUGAGCCUAUGUCCGAUUAGCUAGUUGGCGGGGUAAGAGCCCACCAAGGCGACGAUCGGUAGCUGGUCUGAGAGGAUGAUCAGCCACACUGGGACUGAGACACGGCCCAGACUCCUACGGGAGGCAGCAGUGGGAAUAUUGGACAAUGGGACGCAAGCCUGAUCCAAGCAAUGCCGGCGUGGGUGAAGAAGGCCUUACGGUUAGUAAAGCCCUUUUAGUACCGGGUAAAGAAAAGACGGUUAGGUUAAAGUUACCCGGCCGUUGAUGAACGGUAACCGUAAGAAUAAGACGUACCGGACUAACGUUCGUAGACCG
rnacentral:rRNA from 1 species